GUGACCUCAAAUCAGGUAGGACUACCCGCUGAACUUAAGCAUAUCAAUAAGCGGAGGAAAAGAAACUAACAAGGAUUCCCCUAGUAACUGCGAGUGAAGCGGGAAAAGCUCAAAUUUAAAAUCUGAUGGUCUCUUGGCUGUCCGAGUUGUAAUCUAGAGAAGUGUUAUCCGCGCUGGACCGUGUACAAGUCUCCUGGAAUGGAGCAUCAUAGAGGGUGAGAAUCCCGUCUUUGACAUGGACUGCCAGGGCUUUUGUGAUGCGCUCUCAAAGAGUCGAGUUGUUUGGGAAUGCAGCUCAAAAUGGGUGGUAAAUUCCAUCUAAAGCUAAAUAUUGGCGAGAGACCGAUAGCGAACAAGUACCGUGAGGGAAAGAUGAAAAGAACUUUGGAAAGAGAGUUAAACAGUACGUGAAAUUGCUGAAAGGGAAACGCUUGAAGUCAGUCGCGUCGUCCAGGGAUCAACCUCGCUUUUGCUUGGUGCACUUCCUGGUCUGACGGGUCAGCAUCAAUUUCGACUAUUGGAAAAAGAUCAAGGGAAUGUGGCAUCUCUGGAUGUGUUAUAGCCCUUGGUCGCAUACAAUGGUUUGGGAUUGAGGAACUCAGCACGCCGCAAGGCCGGGUGUCAAAACCACGUACGUGCUAGGAUGCU
rnacentral:rRNA from 1 species